GAUGAACGCUGGCGGCGUGCCUAAUACAUGCAAGUCGAGCGAACAGACGAGGAGCUUGCUCCUCUGACGUUAGCGGCGGACGGGUGAGUAACACGUGGAUAACCUACCUAUAAUACUGGGAUAACUUCGGGAAACCGGAGCUAAUACCGGAUAAUAUAUUGAACCGCAUGGUUCAAUAGUGAAAGACGGUUUUGCUGUCACUUAUAGAUGGAUCCGCGCCGCAUUAGCUAGUUGGUAAGGUAACGGCUUACCAAGGCAACGAUGCGUAGCCGACCUGAGAGGGUGAUCGGCCACACUGGAACUGAGACACGGUCCAGACUCCUACGGGAGUCAGCAGUAGGGAAUCUUCCGCAAUGGGCGAAAGCCUGACGGAGCAACGCCGCGUGAGUGAUGAAGGUCUUCGGAUCGUAAAACUCUGUUAUUAGGGAAGAACAAAUGUGUAAGUAACUAUGCACGUCUUGACGGUACCUAAUCAGAAAGCCACGGCUAACUACGUG
rnacentral:rRNA from 1 species